rnacentral:lncRNA from 1 species
AUUUGCACCGUUAAUUUGCACCACAGGUGCAAAAUAGCACCUGUUCAGCUUUACCCAUGCUUGGGAGAACCUCACAUCUGCCAGUGUUGCUAAUCCCUUGGAUGGGCAGGAGGACCCAAAAUGUGCUGGUGGGAGUCAGAUCAGUAAGGGGAAUGGGUUUAUCCUAGCUGGGGGGAUAAGUGAUGGUGGUUAUAGUCUGCCGUAUAUCAGUUGCUCCAAGAAAUGGCAGCUUUUGUGUUGUAGCUGUAAGGGCUUGUGAUACUAAUAGAGGAGGCAAACAUUUGUGGUUCCAGGUUGUUGUUCAAGCAUGACUGAAAGCUUAAGGCUGCAUAGCACUUUGGAAAACCAGGGAAUGCUUCACUGCAACAAGGUCUAAGACCUAGACAAAUGAAAUGCAACUAGCCCAGAAGAGACCUCCUCAUCAUGAAGAUAGUAGUGCUGCUGACUGCAAGAAAUGGGAAAUUACCCAGGAGAACAAUUUGGCCUCACUGUGGUGGAGAUACUGUGGUACACCCUGACCGUGCCAGAGUGUUCUCCUGUACUCUCACCUGCAGUGGCGAAGCUGAACUGAAGAUAUGAGUCCCCUGAGUGGGGGAAAAACGGAGCUGCCAGAGACAUCCAGUUCUCAUUUUCUGUUCUUCAAAAGGCCUUUCCCCAUUUUGUCACUAAAGAAGCAUGCUUAUUACUCUGAUAACAUUUUUUUUUUUUCAGAGGAGAGGUAAACAAAGGCUGUUGUCUGCUUUAAACCUGAAGUACUGUGGAAAGCUCUUGUGAAAACUGUUAGAACUGAUUUUUCCCUAUUUGUUUUUCCUUGCAAUUAUCCUCUUUAGUGUGGCAUCUCUGUGGAGAAUAUAUUAUUUUUUCUUUCUUUCCUUCUUACCUCUGAAGAAUUCUCCUCAUGUUAAAGAUCUCUGCCCUUUGAUAGCUGUCUUAAAAAUAGCAUUCUAGGUAUAUCCAAGUGUUAGAUAACUCUCUGAUGUGGAACGUCCUUGACUUUAAGUUCUUUUCUCAGUAGCUUGAAAUCUAAUAAUGUUCCCAAAAAUUCAGCGAUGUAUUUUGGUUAAAGAUUCAAAUGACCUUUUUUUUUUCUUUCCUCUUGAGAAAUGAGCUUAUGGUAAAAGGUCCUGAACAAGGCCUGGAGAGAUACAUUCAGUACCCAGCUCUACCACAGACUCUAUCCGUAGUACUGGUCACAUAAUCACUUUUUCUCUGAUUUACACCAGCAAUUCCUCAUAUCA